rnacentral:snoRNA from 1 species
UAAGCAGAGGUUGUGUGUAUCGGCUUUGUGUCUUUUCACAAAUGCACUUUUAUCGAAAGAGUUCUCGGCAAAACUAUAUAUUGAGGAAGAAUGGCAGUUGUGUAACACCCCCGAUUCCCAUGCCAAUUUAAAACUUAAUCAUGUAG